GGCGGCGGCCUAAUGGUUAGUGCAUUGGACUCUGGAUCAAAUGGUCCGGGUUUGAGCCCUGGCCAGGGUCA